UACUCAUUGCACUUCUCCAACCUCCUCCAUCCCCAUGGGAAAUAGUCCGAGGCUGUGAGAAGUACUUGUCUUAGAUAUAAUGUCUGAAUUCCCACCUCCUAUCAGGGAGCCCUGAGCUGGUCUGACUGGUGAGGGUUUCGUACAGUGGUUAGAGAUGAUGGAAGCUGUGUCUGAGCUGAAGCUGGGGACGAUGUCAACAUCAAGGAAGCAUACAGAGCUGACAGGUGUUCCAGAGGACGAUGACCGUGCUGAUGGAGAAGGCCAAGAAGAGCAGGUAGAGCCGGAAGAGGAAGGUGUCUAUCAUGUAGCCAAACUGCAUCCACAGAAAUGACGUCAGCAGCUGAAGUUGUGCAUUCUGACAACAAACAAACAAAAAACAUCAAGGAUCAUUAAUGCCAUGAAUUCAAGUCCUAGUCUACCUCCUGCCUUUGUUUCCUAAGUGGUCCCUUGUGACAGUUCAGCUUUCAAUCACGAGUUCCAACAGAAAGGAUAUAAUAAAGGAUACAGAUGAACAUCCAGAUGAAAAGCACAGGGCAAGGUCUGGAAGGAUCCUGAGCACAGCAGCUUCUGUCCCCAUGGAGUUGGGGUAUGCCACCCUCCUGGCACAUGGAUGUGUUCACCAAUUCAGAAGCUCUCCGAACCCAUGGUUUAGGGAUUUUUUAUGGAAGUUCAUCACAUAGGCACGAUUGAUUAUUAACUCAUAUUCCUGGGAGGAUGAGGAUUGGGGCUGAAAGUUCCAAGCUUCUAAUCAUGGCUUGGUCUUUCUGGUGAUUGGCCCCCACCUGGAAGCUAUCCAGGAGUCCACCAAGAGUCACCUCAUUGGAACAAAAGAUGCUCCUAUCACCCAGGAAAUUCCAAGGGAUUUAGGAGCUCUGUGUCAGGACCAGAGUCAAAGACCAAAUAUUAGAACAAAAGAUGCUCCUAACACCUCUAUCAUUCAGGAAAUUACAAGAGUUUUAGGAAUUCUGUGUCAGGAACUGGGAGCAGAGACCAAACAUAUAUUUCUUCACAGAGUUGUUUACAAUUUUUGUCUGUUAUAUGUAAAGCUAUUAUAAAC